rnacentral:rRNA from 1 species
GGUUAAGCGACUAAGCGUACACGGUGGAUGCCCUGGCAGUCAGAGGCGAUGAAGGGCGUGCUAAUCUGCGAUAAGCGCCGGUAAGGUGAUAUGAACCGUUAUAACCGGCGAUACCCGAAUGGGGAAACCCAGUGUGACUCGUCACACUAUCAUUAACUGAAUCCAUAGGUUAAUGAGGCGAACCGGGGGAACUGAAACAUCUAAGUACCCCGAGGAAAAGAAAUCAACCGAGAUUCCCCCAGUAGCGGCGAGCGAACGGGGAGGAGCCCAGAGCCUGAAUCAGCAUGUGUGUUAGUGGAAGCGUCUGGAAAGGCGCGCGAUACAGGGUGACAGCCCCGUACACAAAAGCGCAUGUGCUGUGAGCUCGAUGAGUAGGGCGGGACACGUGGUAUCCUGUCUGAAUAUGGGGGGACCAUCCUCCAAGGCUAAAUACUCCUGACUGACCGAUAGUGAACCAGUACCGUGAGGGAAAGGCGAAAAGAACCCCGGCGAGGGGAGUGAAAAAGAACCUGAAACCGUGUACGUACAAGCAGUGGGAGCACAGGUUUACCUGUGUGACUGCGUACCUUUUGUAUAAUGGGUCAGCGACUUAUAUUCUGUAGCAAGGUUAACCGAAUAGGGGAGCCGUAGGGAAACCGAGUCUUAACCGGGCGUUAAGUUGCAGGGUAUAGACCCGAAACCCGGUGAUCUAGCCAUGGGCAGGUUGAAGGUUGGGUAACACUAACUGGAGGACCGAACCGACUAAUGUUGAAAAAUUAGCGGAUGACCUGUGGCUGGGGGUGAAAGGCCAAUCAAACCGGGAGAUAGCUGGUUCUCCCCGAAAGCUAUUUAGGUAGCGCCUCGUGAAUUCAUCUCCGGGGGUAGAGCACUGUUUCGGCUAGGGGGCCAUCCCGGCUUACCAACCCGAUGCAAACUGCGAAUACCGGAGAAUGUUAUCACGGGAGACACACGGCGGGUGCUAACGUCCGUCGUGAAGAGGGAAACAACCCAGACCGCCAGCUAAGGUCCCAAAGUCAUGGUUAAGUGGGAAACGAUGUGGGAAGGCCCAGACAGCCAGGAUGUUGGCUUAGAAGCAGCCAUCAUUUAAAGAAAGCGUAAUAGCUCACUGGUCGAGUCGGCCUGCGCGGAAGAUGUAACGGGGCUAAACCAUGCACCGAAGCUGCGGCAGCGACACUGUGUGUUGUUGGGUAGGGGAGCGUUCUGUAAGCCUGUGAAGGUGUGUCGUGAGGCAUGCUGGAGGUAUCAGAAGUGCGAAUGCUGACAUAAGUAACGAUAAAGCGGGUGAAAAGCCCGCUCGCCGGAAGACCAAGGGUUCCUGUCCAACGUUAAUCGGGGCAGGGUGAGUCGACCCCUAAGGCGAGGCCGAAAGGCGUAGUCGAUGGGAAACAGGUUAAUAUUCCUGUACUUGGUGUUACUGCGAAGGGGGGACGGAGAAGGCUAUGUUGGCCGGGCGACGGUUGUCCCGGUUUAAGCGUGUAGGUGUGUGUUCCAGGUAAAUCCGGUUCACUUUAACACUGAGGCGUGAUGACGAGGCACUACGGUGCUGAAGCAACAAAUGCCCUGCUUCCAGGAAAAGCCUCUAAGCAUCAGGUAACAUCAAAUCGUACCCCAAACCGACACAGGUGGUCAGGUAGAGAAUACCAAGGCGCUUGAGAGAACUCGGGUGAAGGAACUAGGCAAAAUGGUGCCGUAACUUCGGGAGAAGGCACGCUGACACGUAGGUGAAGUGAUUUACUCAUGGAGCUGAAGUCAGUCGAAGAUACCAGCUGGCUGCAACUGUUUAUUAAAAACACAGCACUGUGCAAACACGAAAGUGGACGUAUACGGUGUGACGCCUGCCCGGUGCCGGAAGGUUAAUUGAUGGGGUCAGCGCAAGCGAAGCUCCUGAUCGAAGCCCCGGUAAACGGCGGCCGUAACUAUAACGGUCCUAAGGUAGCGAAAUUCCUUGUCGGGUAAGUUCCGACCUGCACGAAUGGCGUAAUGAUGGCCAGGCUGUCUCCACCCGAGACUCAGUGAAAUUGAACUCGCUGUGAAGAUGCAGUGUACCCGCGGCAAGACGGAAAGACCCCGUGAACCUUUACUAUAGCUUGACACUGAACAUUGAGCCUUGAUGUGUAGGAUAGGUGGGAGGCUUUGAAGCGUGGACGCCAGUCUGCGUGGAGCCGACCUUGAAAUACCACCCUUUAAUGUUUGAUGUUCUAACGUGGACCCGUAAUCCGGGUUGCGGACAGUGUCUGGUGGGUAGUUUGACUGGGGCGGUCUCCUCCUAAAGAGUAACGGAGGAGCACGAAGGUUGGCUAAUCCUGGUCGGACAUCAGGAGGUUAGUGCAAUGGCAUAAGCCAGCUUGACUGCGAGCGUGACGGCGCGAGCAGGUGCGAAAGCAGGUCAUAGUGAUCCGGUGGUUCUGAAUGGAAGGGCCAUCGCUCAACGGAUAAAAGGUACUCCGGGGAUAACAGGCUGAUACCGCCCAAGAGUUCAUAUCGACGGCGGUGUUUGGCACCUCGAUGUCGGCUCAUCACAUCCUGGGGCUGAAGUAGGUCCCAAGGGUAUGGCUGUUCGCCAUUUAAAGUGGUACGCGAGCUGGGUUUAGAACGUCGUGAGACAGUUCGGUCCCUAUCUGCCGUGGGCGCUGGAGAACUGAGGGGGGCUGCUCCUAGUACGAGAGGACCGGAGUGGACGCAUCACUGGUGUUCGGGUUGUCAUGCCAAUGGCACUGCCCGGUAGCUAAAUGCGGAAGAGAUAAGUGCUGAAAGCAUCUAAGCACGAAACUUGCCCCGAGAUGAGUUCUCCCUGAGACUUAGAGUCUCCUGAAGGAACGUUGAAGACGACGACGUUGAUAGGCCGGGUGUGUAAGCGCAGCGAUGCGUUGAGCUAACCGGUACUAAUGAACCGUGAGGCUUAACCUU